UGGGGAAUAUUGCACAAUGGGCGCAAGCCUGAUGCAGCCAUGCCGCGUGUGUGAAGAAGGCCUUCGGGUUGUAAAGCACUUUCAGCGAGGAGGAAGGUGGUGAACUUAAUACGUUCAUCAAUUGACGUUACUCGCAGAAGAAGCACCGGCUAACUCCGUGCCAGCAGCCGCGGUAAUACGGAGGGUGCAAGCGUUAAUCGGAAUUACUGGGCGUAAAGCGCACGCAGGCGGUUUGUUAAGUCAGAUGUGAAAUCCCCGGGCUCAACCUGGGAACUGCAUUUGAAACUGGCAAGCUAGAGUCUCGUAGAGGGGGGUAGAAUUCCAGGUGUAGCGGUGAAAUGCGUAGAGAUCUGGAGGAAUACCGGUGGCGAAGGCGGCCCCCUGGANGAAGACUGACGCUCAGGUGCGAAAGCGUGGGGAGCAAACAGAUUAGAUACCCUGGUAGUCACGCUGUAAACGAUGUCGAUUUUGGAGGUUGUG
rnacentral:rRNA from 1 species